AGACCACCUUAUCAACAACAGGUUUUUUUUAGUCAAAUGUGAUCUUUUUUCUAGGUGGCGGACAGACACUGGGCUAAAAGCUGCCUGGUUCCUGACAGAUGAUCUGUGGGUUCCUGCUUGGUACUACUCCAAAGCAGCAAGGAUACAGGCACAACUCAGCUGGCAGCUUUGUCAGUGAUGCAAGGGGAGGAAGCGUGCUGUACCGGGUUGCCGGUGGUCACCCUAUGAGAUCUGUCCUGUGGCUCCAGCAGAGCUGCCUCCAGGGAAGGAAACCCAGGGCAGCCCCAUGCUCUUUGCAGGCUGUUCCACCAUUGCAGCAUUUGCACAACGCACCAGUUCUUUGAAGACCCAUAGAUGAAAGAACGGAGCUGUGGAGAUGAGGCUUAGAGAUUAUCUGUGAUAUCUGCUGUACAGAGCUUCUGUGCCAGCAGGGGAAAUGGCUUCUGGCUCUCAUGGCUCCUGGUGUGCCCAACCACGAGGCUGAGCAUCGUGCUUCAUCUUCUGAGAAAACAUGCACUAGAGGUAUGAUGGAGCUUUCCUCCCCAGGCAGUAACCUGUGCCGUAUUUUCCUUUCUCUGCUAGGUGUCUUUGCUGCUCUGGGUGUUAACAGCCAAAACACACACAAAGCCUUUUACUAGAGCAUUAGGUCUGUAUAUGCAUUUUCAGCAGUCAGAUAGAUGAUUUAUUCAUCCACUUCAGUAACCAUUCAAACAGGGCACAGCGUUCACUACAGUGUAGACAGCAACAAACACUGUGUUUGGUUUGCAAGAACAAAUAAGCAGAACGAGAUAACAGAAGCGAUUUUUCCAAUGUAAAGGACUCUGCUGCCAUCCCCGUUAAAAUCUCUCUGUCAAAUUAAACACUGUUUCCCCAAGCUGUAACUCUGGGAAAGCAUGGCUGUUAUACUCUCUGUUAGAAACCUGAUUAUAGCCACUUUGUGUCUGCAAAAGCACAACCUCUGAUGGAAGGUGACUCCCAGAUACUCCGCAGAUGCGCAUAAGCAGCGCUGUAGAUGUCUCUGCGUGUAUGGGGAGAGGAGGGGUAGCUCUCACGGAGUGCACGAGGCAUUCAGUGGGAAAUUGCCAUUUCUCUGAAGGACAACGCCAUUACAACCGUGCAGAUCCUCGGCUUUGGUCUUUCUGGCCUGGAGAAGAGGAGGUGAGGAGGGAAUGAAUACAAAGGCUCGAGAUAAAGCAGAAAUAGCAGACGGGCAGGCAGAGAUGGCAAAAUGCAAAACAAAAUGAUGAUGAUGAUGAUGAAAAUUUUGUCUUGCCCCUAAGCAUUCCUGUAAAGCAUUGUGUCCUGCUGAGGUGCUUCAAUUUGCUUCAAACUUGGAGUUACUUUGGAAGCAAAGCAGAACUCCAGAUGAAGAGAUCAACUGGGGGCCGCACCCUCUCCAAAAUGUCGGCACAUUUUUGGGUUCUCUCACAGCUGCUCAGCUCUCAAAAGAUAAAACUGCAUGAAAAGUAGUGGAUGACACUCCUGUAGAUAGGAGUCUACAGGAGUAUCACUAGGAUGAUGGAGUCCAAAGUAGAUCCUGCACGUCCCUUGUUUGAUGGAGCCAGGCUGCUUCAUGGGACGUGACAGCGUGCCAAAAACAGCACCUAGUGAAACAAGGGAGGCUGUUUUCUCCCAUGGUGAUCCUACGCUUUCUUCCUUCUGCAUAUUUUUAUCUUAGUUUAUUUGAAUCUUGCUAAACCCCACCGCCUUAUGGCCCAUACGCUAUUUGUAAGCUUGGAGUUAUCCCCAUCCCUGGCAGACCCAUCUUCUGGGGGAGGUGACACCCAUCCCUGUACCGCCCAAGUGGGGCCCUGCCAACGCCUCCAAACAAAAGCCCUGUUCCUCUGAUGCCAGCAGCACGGGACUGCUCUAUUCUGCAAUGGAUAUUUCUUGCUGCACACGUCCACCUCCUUCAUUAGAUGCCUGUAAGCCCUUCCUUAAGUUCCCAUCAUCUGUGAGCUCCCAACCUCUUUGAGGACUCCCAGUAGCUGACCAGCUAUCACCCGUGAUCAUUUCUGAGCAAAUUUCAUGGGCUCUGGGAAAAAGAUGAAGGCUACUAAGUAAAGACAUGCAGAUGUCAGGAAUUGCCUUUUGCUUUCUUGCUCAUCUACAUUCCAGAGUCCAUUCAGCUGAUUUAACUUUUUGGUCCUCUCAAGCCUUUUCACUCCUUAGACUCCUCUCUAUGGGAAAAGAGAUCUGUGUAUACGAAUAGGUGCUGGCCCUGUUUGGGUGCUCCCCUCACUGAAACAUGCCACAGUCACACAGAUGAUCUUUUAUUAAUGCUUCUCAUUCCAGGUCUCCCCACUGUCUCAUUUCUCCAUCUUUUCUGGGUUAGUGGGACAUUUAUCCAUCUCUCAGAAUGUCAAUAAAGAUGUAAAAUAAUGAUGCCGGCACAGCAUCCCCAGCCAGGCACAGGAGAGCUUCUACAUAUAAUGAAUACUUAUCACCAGCCUCUUUUCAGCCCAACCAACAAUCCCCUCUUACAUCAAAGCCUCAUCUCAAUUAAUAUUUGAUGCUGGGAUUCAUUCCACUAUUAGAUGCUGUUAAAAUUCAGGGACCCCGGUUUUUUCUUCAGCUGGAGACAACAACAAACCACACAGAGCAGGGCCAGCCUUCAGAGGGGGGAUUUGUCUCAGCCAACUUCAAAUGUCUGCACUACGGCUGCCUCCAGCUCAGCCGGUUCAUUAUCAUUUCUUUCUAGUAUGUGGAGUGAACUGGCACUUCUAAGGCUCUAUUUUCCCUUGACCUGUGUUAGGGUAAGGUGAUGCGUGUCCUGGCUGCCUAACAGAAAUGCAUUUUUUAUGUUUCCCGUGUCGCAAUCCUGGCAGAAAUAAGGAUGAAAAUGUCUCAUUAUGUUUCCUGCUCAUUAUCACACGUUAACCCUGUGAUUGCUCAUCUGAGGUCCCUUGCACACAGCAAGAAAGGUGGUUACUGGGCUGAUGGAUCCAAACUUCUUAAAUAAAAGCUGAUCAUAUGUGCAUCUUACUACAAAAGGCAGAAAUUGUAGUCUGAGGAAAUGGACUCAAAACCACACAAGUAGCCUGUAUCCUGCUUGUUGUACAUGAUACGUUCAAAGAUAAUGCACAGCAGUUCAGUAAGUUGAUCAGCUAAUUCACUUUAUACUGAAGUCUUAAUAUCACCUGGGCAUAAUGACUGA